rnacentral:rRNA from 1 species
CGGUAUUUUGACCGUGCUAAGGUAGCAUAAUCAAUUGUUUUUUAAUUGAAAACUAGUAUGAACGGUUUAAUUUACUUAAUUAGUUUGUAAUUUUUAAUAGUAAGUUAAAUAUAAAGUAAGAAUUCUUUAAUAAAUUAGGGGACGAUAAGACCCUAAAAGCUUUAUGAUUGGCAUUUAAUUAGUGAUAGCGGUGUUAUUAAUUCACUGGGGCAGUGAGUUUAGGUAUAUUUAAGUAUAAUUAAAAGCUCCUUUAAAUAAAGAUUUCAUGUAUAAGUUACUUUAGGGAUAACAGUGCAAUAUAUUUGGGGAGACCAUAUCUAUAAAUAUGAUUGCAACCUCGAUGUUG